rnacentral:rRNA from 1 species
GAUCGGGAAAAAGUACAGUAUGAAGGCUGUCCGCAGCUGGAGUAUUUUAUUACCCUUGUCUUUUGCGCACUUGUUGUUUCCUGGGCGGGUUCGCUCGCCACCAGGACCACCAAAUAAACCUUUUUUAUGCAGUUGCAAUCAGCGUCAGUACAAACAAUGUAAAUCAUUUACAACUUUCAACAACGGAUCUCUUGGUUCUGGCAUCGAUGAAGAACGCAGCGAAAUGCGAUACGUAGUGUGAAUUGCAGAAUUCAGUGAAUCAUCGAAUCUUUGAACGCACAUUGCGCCCUUUGGUAUUCCAAAGGGCAUGCCUGUUCGAGCGUCAUUUGUACCCUCAAGCUUUGCUUGGUGUUGGGCGUUUUUGUCUUUGGUCGCCCAAAGACUCGCCUUAAAGUGAUUGGCAGCCGGCCUUUCUGGUUUCGCAGCGCAGCACAUUUUUGCGCUUGCCAUCAGCAAAACGGCAAUCCAUCAAGCCUCCUUCUCACGUUUUGACCUCGGAUCAGGUAGGGAUACCCGCUGAACUUAAGCAUAUCAAUAA